rnacentral:snRNA from 1 species
AGAGAAUCACAUUUGUCUAAUUAUUAAAAUUGGAACGAUACAGAGAAGAUUAGCAUGGCCUCCUGUGCGCAAGGACAACACGCAAAAUUGUGAAGCGCCAAUACUAAUU